AUUGAACGCUGGCGGCAUGCCUUACACAUGCAAGUCGAACGGGCUUUUGGGGCUUGCUCCAAAAGUUAGUGGCGAACGGGUGAGUAAUAUAUCGGAACGUGCCCUAGAGUGGGGGACAACCAGUCGAAAGAUUGGCUAAUACCGCAUACGAUCUAAGGAUGAAAGUGGGGGACCUUCGGGCCUCAUGCUCCUGGAGCGGCCGAUAUCUGAUUAGCUAGUUGGUGGGGUAAAGGCCCACCAAGGCGACGAUCAGUAGCUGGUCUGAGAGGACGAGCAGCCACACUGGGACUGAGACACGGCCCAGACUCCUACGGGAGGCAGCAGUGGGGAAUUUUGGACAAUGAGCGCAAGCCUGAUCCAGCAAUGCCGCGUGAGUGAAGAAGGCCUUCGGGUUGUAAAGCUCUUUUGUCAGGGAAGAAACGGUGGGGGCUAAUAUCCUCUGCUAAUGACGGUACCUGAAGAAUAGGCACCGGCUAACUACGUGCCAGCCGCCGCCGUAA
rnacentral:rRNA from 1 species